CAUCCAAAUAUCGUCUCUGCCAAUAUAGUUCCGGAUAGAUGGCCCGGAUGUUUCUACCGCAGCGCCGCAAAGAAAGCUGUGACUAUUGGAGAAAACGCUGAAGCG
rnacentral:ncRNA from 2 species